UUGCUAUGGAGACCCAUUUUGUUGAUUUAUAACCUGGAAUCAUAAAAGUGAUUAUUUUGAAUGAAAUUUAUGUACUAAAAUUUAUGUAAUAUUACUUGAGUGGCAAAAUGGAUGGAAUCAUGGGUUACAAUGAUUUAAAAGCGCUUCAAGCUUUAAUUAAUCCCAAUAAUUCUGAUUCUGAAGAUGAGGAUCUUUCGCAGAAAGGAUUACGUAAACUAGGUCCUGGUGACGUCGGUGGCUUGAAAGAGUCAUCAGAGCCAAAUCCCGGGCCAAACGUUCCAUUAAACCUAGAAAGCGACGAUAUUUGGGAUUCUUCAGAAGUAACAACAACUUCAACUGAACUUUUAGACCCUAGACAAGUGCCAGAAUAUGAAAUGAAGUUCAAACAAGCUGUCACUACUGAAGAUGUUUUUCUAGGGAUGGGUUUCAAAACUCCAGGAUCAGCCUCUUGUGAAUGGAUAACACUUUCGAUAAAACUACCGAGCGAGUCGAUGAAAAAUAUUGAGCUUACUGUCGAAUCAGAUUUAGUAGACGUACGGAGCCCUAAGUACCGAUUGUAUUUGCCGACUCCUCACUCUAUUGAUCCGAACAAUUCGUCAGCCAAGUGGCUCAAUGAUAAGGAUACACUUGAGCUUACAUUGAAACUUGUCCGUGAAUUGGACGGAAUUAAUUUUUAAAGUUUUAUUUUACUCCAAUAUUUACUCCAAAAAAACACGAUAAAAAUAAAAACAAAUAAAAUUAAUUAAGUAGAUCAUUAAUUUAUUACAUAAUGAUAAUCAUAAUACUAUUUUUAAUGAAACUCGUAAAUUAAACGAUGUGUUAAUAAUUUUAAUAAAUUCUUCGUAUAUUAUCAGUAGUAUCACGUUUAUUUUAAUUACACAAACUGAAUAGACGGGGACACAACGCGGAAAAAAGAAGGAAAACAAAUAUCCAAUUAAGUUAAAUUGAUUUAAAUUUAAUACAGCUAAAUUUAAUUAAAUUUAAUAAUAAGUUGAGGAAAAUUAAAUUACAUUUUUAAAAUAAAAAUGACUGGCUUUUGUUUCUAAGUUGUUGAAGCUGGAUGGACUAUUUUUAGAUAUUUUUAAAAAUUUUUACCUUGUUACGAAUUUAAAUUCACAAUGUUGUUGGAUAAAAUAGCAGAUAAAUGUAUUUAUAUUGAAAUAGAGUGUAGUGUGUCAGAAGGACGCUCUGGAUUUCUUUUUUACUGAAAAUUGAUAAAAAAAACAUUCUAUUAAUCUAAUUGUUAAAAAACAAAUCCUGUGAAAAAGUAUACACCGAAGAGGAUAAUUGGAAAUUGGAGAGAGCUAUUGGACAGGAAAUUUAAUUUUCCAAAAAUUUUGUCUCUCGUAAAAAUUCAAUAGGAUCUGUAGUUUAAAAGUUACAGCUGCUUUGGGAAUCGUACAGUGCGAAUGUGCGGAUGUACGAACUGUAAAUAUCUCGGAAACUACACUGAUAGAAGGAUUUGUUUAUAUUUAAUAAGCUUUAUUAUCU
rnacentral:misc_RNA from 1 species